rnacentral:tRNA from 1 species
GGGCUUAUGGUCUAGGGGUAUGAUUUUCCCUUCGCAUCUUUGAAAACAUGCUUGGGAAAGGUCCGGGGUUCAAUUCCCCGUGAGUCCA